rnacentral:rRNA from 1 species
CCUACGGGAGGCAGCAGUGGGGAAUUUUGGACAAUGGGCGAAAGCCUGAUCCAGCCAUUCCGCGUGAGUGAAGAAGGCCUUCGGGUUGUAAAGCUCUUUCGCAAGGGAAGAAAACUUAGAUACUAAUAUUAUCUGAGGUUGACGGUACCUUGAUAAGAAGCACCGGCUAACUACGUGCCAGCAGCCGCGGUAAUACGUAGGGUGCGAGCGUUAAUCGGAAUUACUGGGCGUAAAGCGUGCGCAGGCGGUUUUGUAAGUCAGAUGUGAAAUCCCCGAGCUCAACUUGGGAACUGCGUUUGAAACUACAAGACUAGAAUAUGUCAGAGGGGGGUAGAAUUCCACGUGUAGCAGUGAAAUGCGUAGAGAUGUGGAGGAAUACCAAUGGCGAAGGCAGCCCCCUGGGAUAAUAUUGACGCUCAUGCACGAAAGCGUGGGGAGCAAACAGGAUUAGAUACCCUGGUAGUCCACGCCCUAAACGAUGUCUACUAGUUGUUGGUGGAGUAAAAUCCAUGAGUAACGCAGCUAACGCGUGAAGUAGACCGCCUGGGGGNGGUACGGUCGGUCGAGAGUUAAACUACGAAGAAGUAGNGGCGNGNGAGNGCGACGGACGACGACGAGGGAGGAGG